CCAGUCACUUUGCAAAGUGUCCAGUGCAAAGAAACUGCGAGAAAGGCUCCAGGUCAGGAUUUCUGCUAGUCAGAAACUUCGUUUAUGUGUUUGUCUCCCUUUGUGUAAGCCACCUGGCUUAAUCGGGAUAAGAAGAAAGCCCUUGACAAAAAUGAACUGAAGCCUCAUGCCUUAAGGGACUCAGAAUUAGGGAGAUUUGGAUUCAGAAUCCUGCCUCAGACUUGUGCUGGCUGUGUGACCCUGGGUCUCCAGAGAGAACAUCGCCUUCCAGCCCCUGGCAAAAGAAAAGAGGAUGCCUUCCAGUUGGAGAGGAGAGAUGGGAAUGGGCCCAAAUCUAGCGGGCACCAGCGAGAAGAGGCCAGCUGCUGACCCAGAGCAGCUCGACCUUUUGUGGGCAUUUGGAGGAGAAACAUUGACUCAAUAUGACCGGCCAUCCUUUGUGGACUUGGUUUCCCCCUUCUGCUAAUCACCAGUCUCUUGCACGAGGUGAAGAAACUGAGGCCUGGAGAUGUGAAAUGCCUUCGAACAUCAGAGAGCUAAAGCUGGAAGGGAGCUCCUGGGACACCUAGUCCAGACUCUUUAUUUUACAUACAAAGUUCAGCAAUCCCAAAGAAUACAGUGAGCACAUCUGACCGUGUAUAUACCAUUCUGUGCAUGGAGCCCCCCCGCUUCUCUACAGAAAGGAGGGAUGUGUGUUUCUUCAUCUGGUUCAUGGACUUCAAUGGAAUUUAAUUUAAUUUGAACACCCAAAGAGACCACAGAAUUCUAGACUGAAAGCUGGAAAGGGCCUUAGGUCAUCUAGUCCAAUGCUGUCAGGAGAACUGAGGCACAGAAAGGGAGAUCCGAGGCAGGAUUCAAAGCCGGGGUAUCCUGGCUUCCAAGUCCACCUGCAUUCGAUUAAGGCCUAAGGCUCCCAAUGGCUUUGUCUGAUCUCUCCAAACUCCUGGUUCACUGGUGGUGGAGUAGGGGGGAAGUUUGCUAGAAAGAGGACCUGGGUUCUAGUUCAGCUUUGUCACUUCCUGGCUGUGUGAUUUUGGCCAAGCCACUUCCCCUUUCUGGGCCUCAGUUUCCCCUUCUGUAAAAUUAAGGUGUUGGGCUAGUUGGAUCUUCCCGGUCCUUUGCAGCUCUUAAUCUGAUAUCCUCCCCCACCCCUGGUUUCUCCUCUUUGCUCCUUUGUCUUCACCAGCUUUCAUUUUUUUGAAACCAAGUGACUCAUAGGAAGGAUGUCUCUGCCUCAUUGGUCAGGGCCGGCAGGUGUGGGGGCUGCCUGGAGGGUGGGUCCACCUGAGCACUGAGCAGGCAGGUGUCUUUUGUUGUCUGGCUCUGUGUAGCAGCACCUCCAGCAGGGAGGCGGGCAGGCGGGCCAGGGCUGGCGCUCAGCUUGGCGCUUGGCAGCUCUGCCCGUCCCAGAGGCCGGCGAAUGAGUCCGACAGGUCAGACGGGUGGAAGCUGACGGCAUCUCUGCUGCGGGCUCCCGGCCGAGGACCUCAGCUAAAGUGCAGGUAAAAAUCUCUCUAUCUCUCUUGAGAGAGCCUUCCUUCAGUACUGAGGGGAGGAGGCCGAGAAUAAGGUUCGGGGAAGAAGGAAGGGUCACAUUCUUCAAAGAAUUUGACUCCUGGGGAGGGGGGGAAAAGUGAGAUGAGGGAGGCAUUUCUGUCCUUUCAAGGCCUGAGGGAAAACGAGGGUUUAUUCCUGGACCUGGUUGCUCAGUGGAGGCCAGUUGGUGAGGCCAAAUCCUGUCACCAGGAGAUCUUUUUUUUAACCCCCUGAAAAUAAAAACCCUCAGGAAAGUAAUUCAAGGGC